rnacentral:lncRNA from 1 species
GACUUUGAUAAACAAAUAUUAAACAGUAUUGAAAGAGAUGUUAUAGAAAAUUAUUUUCUGGUUAUAUUCCUUUAAGUCCUUCUUGCACUUUUUUUUUUAGUAUAAAGGAGCAUUGGGUUAUUCAACUUUUUACGUGUUUAUAUGGACUUGGAAAGAUAGUAUAUCUAUAUGGGCAUAAGAAGAGCAAGGUUGUCAUUUUUUUAUUAUGAUACAAAAAUGACCAGGAAAAUGCCGUUCUGACUAUAGAUAGGCAGGAGGAACAAGCAACAAGCCUGAGGCCACCAUUUCUAGAGGCAUCAUGAUGAGGAAUAGCAUUGGCUGAGGGUGGGGAGCAGGCAGCUCAGCGUAGGCCAGGGUGAGUGGGCACCAGGAGCAAAAUGCAGAUGAGGUGAGUUGCCCCUCAGACAGUGCCAGUGGGGCCUGACGACAACUGCAGGCAGCCCUCCCCAACCUCUCUGCAUAGACGCAGCACCAGGAAGCAGUCUUUUCCUGACUGGGGAAGGAGAGAGAGUCCUGAACUGAUUGAGAUAACCUGGAAUCAAUUAAAUAGCUUCUUCUGUCCUCAGGUGGAAUGAGGAAUUGAAAUGCAGAUGAAGUUGAGUUCAAGAAAAAUCACGUUUCUUAUGCAGCUGAUGGAAAGAUUCAUACAUUCUUGUGAUGCUGGUCAGUGGGGAGGUAGGCGUUGCGGGAGGCUGUGUGGUUCUGCAGUACUGCUCCUAAGCAAACUCCACGUUGCUGCCCUGGGGAGGACAAAAGGCUGAUUCGCUGAAAGAAUCAUUAACAGAGAUGGCGGAAGGAGGUUACAUGUUAUUCAAGAUGGGAUUGUGAAGUGAAGGAGGAAAAAACAUACCCCAGAGAUCCUGGACUGAGAGCUGGAUACAGAUUGCGACAUAACUUUGAAGUCGAACACAUUUGGGAGCACAUCUGCGUUUGUACAGCAAGAGGCAAUAGGGAAGUGUUAAAACCAAGAUAAAAUAGAAUGAAAAAAUAAGCCCACAAAUAUGUGCAUACUAAAUAAGAAGCUGGUAACUUCAUUCACAGUCAGUUGGUUAGGACAUAGACAUGUUUUCAAAAUUUAACAUUCUAUUUUGUGGUUUCAAUAGUGAUGGUUGUCAUUUAAAUAGGCAUAAUGAUGGCAAUGAAGAUAUCCUUGGAAGGGAAGAUAACUUUUAAUCAAUAAAAUUGUUUCUGUGUUACUUCGUUAAUAUUUAUAUUUACAUACUCCACAUCGUGAUGGAUAUUUCACAUGCAUAAAUACGAUUUGACAUAUUGUACAUAAAGAUGAAAGUUUAGGGAAUUAGAAUUUUCUUUAAAAAGCCCAAUAUAACAGAACUAUUAUUAUUCACUUUAACAACCUUUCUUAUGAUCAUGUCAAGCUAUCAAAUAUUCAAGUGGUAAGGAUAAAAGACCAUAUUUGGUAUAAAAGACCUCUUUCUAACAUUCUAUUACUGCUGUUUGCCUUGCUGAGGUUCAAAUUGUGUUUGAGAAUAAAACUAUGAAGAUAACUUAAAUCACUAUCUUAUUUACUGUUCAAAGACACUUUUAAAAAUCAUUAGAGGACUGCAAAGACCAGAAAUGCUUUAGACUCGUCAUCAUUUAGCACACAUUCAGUGUACACAAGGCACUAUCUACUGAGUUAACCAUCUACUGAGUAAGUCAGGCAGGAUGAAAAUGACUCACUGCAACACUGUUAGGAUAAAUCUGGACCCCAUGUUAGUGUAAGCAUGAGCCAGGCUAACAACUUUCUCUACAUCCACCCAACAAACUAAAAGAAACCAGACAUCAAGGAAGUGCCCCCUCUCAGCCAAAAGUCUGUGAAACAUUCACUCAGAUUUAGCUUUAAUUCCUGACGUAUAUCUGGUUGAAGAAAUUUAGCAAUGUGUAUGAUCCUUUCUAAGGCAGGCACUUGUCAUAUGUAUUUUUAUUUUCUUUGAUAGGAUCUGCACUGACUUGAACUGAGAACUACCAACUGGUGUAUUCUUCAGCCCCAUGAACCAAGACAGCCCUUGAUAUUUAUUAAUCUUUUACUGAUGCAUGAUUAAAGGAAUGCUUUUCUCCUCUCCAAGUUUCAGCGAUCGUCUCCAGGUAGAUGACUCCUAGGUUUAUAUUUUUAUCUGUGGUCUCUCUCUUGAGUGUCUUACCCACACUUCCAACAAAUACAGGAGAGAUCUUCUUGUUCAGAUGUAUCUUAGCUUCUUCAGGAAGCAUAAUACUAUCUGGAGGGAGUGUAGGUUCAAUGUCUGGUGAGAGAGGUAGGUGGAAACAGGGAAAGAUUUAGCCCUUUACCUUUCAAAACCAUUAACCUCAUGUCUUCUUUAACCCUAAUCAGAUGUUCAAUGAAUAGCUACACAUUAGAAGAGGAUAAAAUGUUUUGACAAAUAGGGAACCAAGGCAUUCCUUUCUUAAGAACAAACGUAUAUUAGAGAGGUCACCUGUGUGGCUGUGGUUUGAAGGUCCUCCAUUGUGCUGAGGGAUUUCGUAGAGGAUGGAAGUUUCAAAACGCUUUGAGGAGUUAGAGUGUUGUUGUACAAGCUACAAUAUCCAGGAGGGCAGGCGUGGAAGUGGAGUUGAGUUGAAUUAGAGGGGGCUGCUGAAAAGAAAGAGGGCAUCCAAAGAAUAUAUUGAUCACCUCAUAACUUGAGCUAAAUCAAUACCUGCCAUUGUCAUAGCCCAGGGUGUAAGGGACUUCUGUGUGAUGAAGUUGGCUUUAAUUUGGUUGAUUGUAAAAGGUUGGUCAUGUGCCCCUCUAUAAUCUACGACUGCCUUGUCCUGUGUCUUCUGCUUCCAUUAUUUCUGCCACUACCAUCACAUUUCUUUUUCUAUUCUUCUUCCCUUCACGAUCUUUGUCCUUUUAUCUGACAAAUAUUUGUGAAGAUAGGCAUUGUGAUAGGGACCGUGGGGGAAGGAGCCAUAAAAAAAGGUAUAAGGUGUGUACUUCUCCUGUAAUUAUAUAAUGUAAAUAUUAGGGGCCCAUUCAUCUAUUCAUUCUCCUGUUUGAGCACCAUCCUCCCCAUGCUCCCCCAAGUAGCCUCUUGUAUAAAGUGUAGGAGACCAGCAUAGAAUUUUCCAAGGACAAAGAGACAGUUUAAUCUUUGUUGCAUACCAUGGGUUAUUUCUGUGCCAUCCAACCUAACAAGAAAGACUAAAUUGUGGGAAUAUACUUUCUAUGUGGAUAAACUUCAAGUUAUGUAUUUUAAUGGAUCAUGCAUUAAUGAAUCUUGAUAUUUCAAGUUGAUUUAUUUCGAUUAUGAAUAACCUCCUAUACCACUUAAAAAAAUAAACUGGUAGCUAUUAAAGCUCUUGAUGGUUUAAAAAAGAGAGAGACUUGAGUCAUAAAAGGACAAAUACUGUAUGAUUCCUUGAUUCCAAUCAUAUGAGGUAUCUAAAGUCGUUAAAUUAAUAGAAAUAAAAAACAGAAUGCUGGUUACCAAGGGCUCAGGGAAAGGGGAAUAGGGGAGCUGUUGUUUAAUGGGUGUAGAGUUUCAGUUCUGCAAGAUGAAAAAGUUCUGGAGAUCUGCUUCACAAUGAUGUAAAUAUACUUAACACUACUGAACCCUAUACUUAAAAAUGGCUAAGAUGGUAAACUUUAUGAUAUGUGGGUUUUUUUUUUUACCACAAUUUAAAAGAUUAACUAAUAAAAAAAAGAAUUUGCUGGGAUUCUACAGAGGAAACAAAGCAAAGCAUUGAGAGAAAAACUUAAAUUCAACUCGGGCAUCUCUCUUCCAUAAAACUCUCUCUUCGGCUGUGCUACCAAUCAUAGCAGAGUGGUGGUGGUGGUGGAAAGCUUUUCCUCUGAUCAUUCCCAAACAAGAGGUAUGAGCAGUUAGGCCUGGGAAGGAGUCAGAAUCUUGGAGAGGAGGUAGAGGUUAUCUAUGGGAUACCAAUGGAAAUAAUAGGUAUGGUCAAUUUGAGAGUGUAAUUAUAGAAAUGAAGUGAAUAGAUAUGAACGUUUUUAAGAUGUAUCAUCAACUGUAGAAACAAAUGAUAAUAGCAAUUAUGCAGUAAGAACUUAGGGUUGAGGAACUGUUGAGGAAACUGAGGCUAAAAGAGGUUAGGUAAGUUAUCCAAGAUCAACCCCUAGAAAGUAGUGAAGGUAGGAAUUAAUCCCAAGAGCCAAAUGUACAACCCAUGCUUUUAACUACUGUACUAUGACUGCUUUCCUUUGAAUGUAUGCACCGUUGGGAAGACAAUUAUAAAUGACUGCAAUUGGAGGAAGUUGGGCAUGUCAGCUGUUCACUCUUUGUUCCCCUCACAUUCUUAUCAGGGGCUAUAUGAUGCUGUGUAUUUUGCAUUGCCCACUGAGAAAAUGUUUAAUGGAAUAGAAUGAUACUGCUGAGAAGAGGAGAGCUCAGUGGUCCUCACCACAGGAUGUUCCUCUGCAAAGCAGAAUAGCAAGUUGAGCAUCAUGGAUAAGAUUUUCUUUCAGAGCAGAAGGGACUUAAACUCUUAAACUCACAGGGAGAGCGCCACUCGUCAAAUACUCUCAAGAUUUUCAGCCACUGUGCCAAAAGGACCAUAAAUUAUGCCCUCAUUGAAUAAUGUUUUAAGUGUGGUACUUCUUAAAGAACAUAUUUAUUAACCAGGCAAAAAUUUUAUUACAUGGCCACAACAUGCUAUGCUGUUUUCAUCAAGUGCCUAUGUAAGGGUAUUUGUAGAAGGUUGUCUCCAGGAAACCACUAACAGUUAUUUCCAAAGAACUCAGUCUCCUUGGCUUCAUAGACUAAUUUUCAGGAACUUUGGAGCAUAAAACACAUUUUGGAACUAGAGUUCUACAUGUCAGAAGGUCUGAAAAGCCAAGAGAUUAGUAUAAAUAGCUUUGUUAUUCACACACUGAAUAUAACAUUUAGAUAUAAUAUAUUCUGUAGCCAAAGUACUCUAGUUUCUCCCAAUAAUUUGAAACAAGAAGUUAAGAACACAAAAUGCACCUAGAGGGAAAGAAGAAUGAUACUUUAUUGCUGCUGAAUUCAUGAAUCUAUUAGGGAAACUCAUUUUAAUCUUUAGGUUUAAUAUGUCCCUUUUAUCAAGACUGAGACUUUUCUUUGUGUCUACAGUAGAAAAAUGACGCCAAUUUAGUCCUGUACUUUGCCAACCCCUGAUUGUCACAUUUUUCGAAUUAUCACAGUUGUCCAUCAAUUGUGUCAAGACAGAAUAGAAAAUUGGGUUGUGGGUUGGAUCCUGUUAAGGAUAUAUACAGAUUUCUAUAAAACAUUCAUAAGGAUAUUGCUCUCGUUUUUCUUUCUGUAGGAUGAUGAACAUUUUUUUGUUUUGUUUUAUUUUCUGGAUGUUUAACUUUUAGUUAGAAUAAUAUAAACAAUUUUCUAGUCACAAAGACCUUUUAGAACAGCCUUACUUUCAGAGCUUUCAUAAUUCUGGAAUGAGGCGCUAUUCCACCCACAGUUUAGUUUGUAUUCCUUGAGCUGAGUUAAUUAUCUGAGGUCACAGGAUGCUAUUGGUGGUUUUGCAUGUACAAAUGGAUAUUCUCAAUUCUGCCCAGAGUAAUGGAUCAAAAUAGGCAGUUAAUUCAAGGUUUUAAAAAUUAAUAUAAUCUGCAAUUUUAAUGGUGCAAGGAAAAUUAAAGGUCUCUUAGUUCAACACAUUUAUCUUGUAGAUGAGCCAGCAAAGGCCCAGAGAGCCUUUAGAAUUUGCCAAGGGUCACAUAGCCAGUUAAUGGCAGAGCUGGUAUCAGAAAAAGGUCUUUUAUCUCAUAAUUCAAAGCUCUUUCUUCGAAUUAUGAAAUGUUAAGGCAUAGUGAAAAGUCCAGAAAAUAACAUGACUAACAUUUGUGUAUCUACCACCCAGCUUUAUCAAAUCUUACCAUUUUUUAUGUAUGCUUCUUUAAUUUUUUAAAGAAAUAAAACAGAUUCAAUAAAGCCCCUUGUAUAAUUUUUUACUAAUAAGACGUCUCAUACUGCCUUCCAAAUUUGCCAUUGUUAUGUGAAGAUGCAUAAAUAGUAUCUAUAUGUACAAUAUUUGUUAUCGUUUUAUGUAGUUUAGAACAGUAUAUAAGUAAAAUCGUAUUUUAUGUAUUCUUCUGAAAUUUGCUUUUUAUCGCUCACUAUUGUUUUUGAGAUUUUUUAAUCCUCAAGUACAUAGCUAUGGUUCAUUCAAUUUUACUGUUUUCCAUAUUGUGAACCUAUUACAAUGUAUUUAUCCAUUUUCCUCUUGAUGAAUAUUUAGAUUUUUUUAAAAGUUGCUAUUACAAAUAAUGCUGUAAUAAACAUUCUUGUAUAUGUGUCCUUGUGCACAAGUGCAAGAACUUGUUGGCUACAUGCUUGGAAAUUGUAAUACUUCAAUGGUAUGUAUUAUUGUCAAAUUACUCUCCAAAGUGUGGUACAGCAGUGUUAUAUGAUGCCAAUUUGAUGGAUAGGAAAUGGUUCAUCACUGUGGCUUCAUCUGUAUUUCCCUUAUUAAUAAUAAAAUUGAUUAUCUUUUUGUAUGUUUAUCAGUUAGCCAUUGCUUCAAUAAUAUUGGGUGACCAACCACCACAAAACUUAGAGGCAAUCAUUUAUUUUCAUGGGUCUGCAGGCCAACUGGUGUGGCUCCACUUCAGGAUGCAGGUCUGGGAAUCCACAUCUGUUCCAUGUGUCUCUUAUCCUCCUUGGGCCAGUGGACCAGCUAGUGAUCCUCUUCUUGCAGCAAAAGCAGGAGCACAAGAGUGCAAGCCCCAUUCCUCAAUGACAUUUCAAGUCCUUGCUUGUGACACUUCUGCUCAUGUCCUAUUGACCAAAGGAAGGCAUUUUGCUGAGUCCGACAUCCAUAAAGUGGAGAAAUGCUCCACCCCUGUGAGACCAUGGCAUAGCCAUGAAGGCAUAUAACUACUACAGGGGAGGGAAGAAUUGUCACCAGUAAUUUCAUCUACCACAACACAUUUAUUGGUUAUGAAUUGCUGUGAAUUUCUGGUUCAUAGUCUUUGCUCAUGUUGUCUUGAGUUGCUUGUAUUUUGCUUAUUGUUUUGUAGAUAUUCUUUACAUAAUGUGGAUUCUGAUUUUUAUCUAUUAUAAGAUUAUGAAAAAUCUUAUUUUAGUACAUGGCUUAUCUUUUCACUUUGUUUAUGAUAUUUGUCUUGUAAAGUUUAAAAUUUGACUGCAGUCUAAAUAGUUAUCAGUUUUUUCUUUUACAGUUUGCACUCAUUGUGUUGUUUUAGAAAAUUAUCUGCAUCCUGAGGUCAUUAAUAUACCCUCCAAUGUUAUCUUCUAAGAGUAGUAAAGUUUCAUUUUUCCAUGUAGGUUCAUGAUUUGCUCAGAACUUUUAAGUUUUUUCUAUUUUUUUCUGUAAAUUCUCUUAUAUAUUCUACAUAAAUAAUCAUAUCAUUUAUGAGUAAUAAAAUUUGGUCUUUUUGUUUCCAAUUCUUAAAUCUUUUUUUCUUUUUCUUAUGACACUAAUCCAGAAAAAUGUGGACCAGGAGUUGCACAGCAAGUAUCCCACCCACUCCUUGAUUUUAAUGGAAAUAUUUCCAAUGUUUUACUACUGCAGGAGAUUGAUCACAAAGAAAGUAAUCAGAAAAUAAAUGAUAAGCUAAAAUUCCAUAUACCACUAAAAUAUUAUUAUAGAACAUAGGCAAAAU